rnacentral:rRNA from 1 species
CAGGCAGAGAUAACCGCUGAAUGCAUCUAAGUGGGAAACUCGCCACAAGAUUAGAUCCCUGUUUUCCCGUAAGGGAGUAAGAUCACAGGUAGACUACCUGUUUGAUAGGCAGAAUGUGUAAGCGCAGCAAUGCGUUGAGCUAAUCUGUACUAAUGAUCGAGGGCUUCUUCAU